AUUGAACGCUGGCGGAAUGCUUUACACAUGCAAGUCGAACGGCAGCACGGACUUCGGUCUGGUGGCGAGUGGCGAACGGGUGAGUAAUAUAUCGGAACGUGCCCAGUCGUGGGGGAUAACGUAGUGAAAAUUACGCUAAUACCGCAUACGAUCUAAGGAUGAAAGCGGGGGAUCGCAAGACCUCGCGCGAUUGGAGCGGCCGAUAUCAGAUUAGGUAGUUGGUGAGGUAAAGGCUCACCAAGCCGACGAUCUGUAGCUGGUCUGAGAGGACGACCAGCCACACUGGAACUGAGACACGGUCCAGACUCCUACGGGAGGCAGCAGUGGGGAAUUUUGGACAAUGGACGCAAGUCUGAUCCAGCCAUUCCGCGUGCAGGACGAAGGCCUUCGGGUUGUAAACUGCUUUGUACAGAACGAAAGGUCUCUAUUAAUACUAGGGCUCAUGACGGUACUGUAAGAAUAAGCACCGGCUAACUACGU
rnacentral:rRNA from 1 species